rnacentral:rRNA from 1 species
UACGUAGGUGGCGAGCGUUAUCCGGAAUUAUUGGGCGUAAAGAGCGCGCAGGUGGUUGAUUAAGUCUGAUGUGAAAGCCCACGGCUUAACCGUGGAGGGUCAUUGGAAACUGGUCGACUUGAGUGCAGAAGAGGGAAGUGGAAUUCCAAUGUGUAGCGGUGAAAUGCGUAGAGAUAUGGAGGAACACCAGUGGCGAAGGCGGCUUCCUGGUCCGGUUCGACACUGAGGAGC